rnacentral:rRNA from 1 species
UGAGGAAUAUUGCGCAAUGGGCGAAAGCCAGACGCAGCAACGCCGCGUGGACGAAGAAGGCCUUCGGGUCGUAAAGUCCUUUUCAGGGAGACGAGAGAGGACGUAUACCCUGGAAUAAGUCACGGCUAACUACGUG